UGCCAAACGGAUCCUCAUCAUCUCCGCUUCACCUUCUGAAUAGCCAGAAAGAGACAGUUUGGAGGUGAGGAAUGAAGUAGUAAAGAAAGCGAGGAUUAUCGGCUUAUCCGGGGCAGGCUUGUCCUAUAUCCUCCA
ensembl:ncRNA T19B10.14 ncRNA